GUCGAGAAUCUUCCCCAAUGGGCGAAAGCCUGAGGGAGCGACGCCGCGUGAGGGAUGAAGGCCCUUUGGGUUGUAAACCUCUGUUAGGGGGAAAGAAAAGCAGUGGAAGCAAUAUGUCCAUUGCCUGACGUUACCCCCAGAGAAAGCUCCGGCCAACUCCGUGCCAGCAGCCGCGGUAAUACGGGGGGAGCAAGCGUUGUCCGGAAUCAUUGGGCGUAAAGGGCGUGUAGGCGGCUUGGCAAGUCGAAUGUGAAAUCCCACGGCUCAACCGUGGAACUGCGUUCGAAACUGCCUUGCUUCAGUGCGGGAGAGGUGUGCGGAAUUCCUGGUGUAGCGGUGGAAUGCGUAGAUAUCAGGAAGAACACCGGUGGCGAAGGCGGCACACUGGCCCAGCACUGACGCUGAGGCGCGAAAGCGUGGGGAGCGAACGGGAUUAGAAACCCGGGUAGUCC
rnacentral:rRNA from 1 species